rnacentral:tRNA from 1 species
AGCGUUGUGGCUCAGUUGGUUAGCGUGCCUGCCUCUAAACCAGAGGUAAUGGGUUUAAGCCUCGUCGUCGCUA